CUCCAUCGGGAUCUCUGUGCCGGUUGAGGUGUUUCCUGUCGUGGAGGUAAAUUAAGUGGCUCACUGAGAGGGGCUCGGCCACGACUUCCAGCAGCUGGUUUGCCUCCGGGAAACAGUAGUCUCGUGGAGGCUCUGAAUGGUGAAUUUGUGGCAGUAGGCAGCACCAGCGUGCCAGCGCCGGCUAUCACAUCUCUCGACAGUGAGUCGACAGUGAGGAGUUGUGGUAAGGACUUUGAUCGGGACG